AAAAUGUUUAAUAAUGCUUGUUCAGUUAUACACAAGUCACUUCAACAGCCUAAAAUGAUCAAGUACUAACUUAAGUGAAGCAAAGGUGAACAAUUUGAAUAAAGAUAAAACUUGAUUUAUCAGUCACAUUAAAUCACAUGAACUGUGUUUGUCAGGUUAGAUUGACUCUAACACUGGAGAUAUUCAUUCAGAUGUUACUGAUAUUUUGUCAAGUGCUUCAUUCAGUGUCCAUAAAUGAAGCACAUUACACAGACAUAGUUAAUACUGAUAACUACUGCAGAACAUUUUGUUAAAUAGCACAUUAUUUACUGUGUUUUGCAUUACGACACCUUUCUUCAGAAAAUAAAAUGUCAUAUGAGUAAAUGCAUCACAUGUAGGUUAGGUACCUGGACUGAAGCAUUCACUACCUACCGAAUGCACAUAGAAAAUGAUUGCUUGCUGAUUACAUCAAAUUACAAUAUUUAAUGUGCAAAUUUAUACACAGAUUACACCACAAUGACAUAAAUAAUUAAAAGAACCUGAGAUUAUAUUCUUGAACUGAUAUUUUCGAAAUAUCGGAAGGCAGCAAUAAAUUAAAAAUGUUUAAAAAUUAUUUUUUUUUUAAUUAAAUUUUUGAAAAUUCAUUUUCCUUCAUUUUGAAAAUUUAGCUUUUUGACCCACAUAUGGUUAUCUACCAGCAGAGAGUCAAACCCAUUUUAGCAUCCUGUAAGUCUCACAGAGAGUCUGCAGAGGGAGCCAUGAGCACAGCAAUUAUACAAGCAUCCUACAGUACUGAACAGAUUUGACCUGUUUGUAUUUGUGUAUAUGAAAAUCCCUGAAAUGUGACAUGUGGUCUUUCUUAAUAAAGAUAAAUAUAUAUAUUUUUUAGAAAUUACUUAAAAAUAUAUCCUGAAAUUCAGUCAUUUGUAGCUACAACCAGUGCAUUUGCAGUUUAACUGGGGUUUUGAGCUUUGCUACACACUGACAUACACCUCAACAUGCUCUGUCCUAUAAUAAAGCGAGCUGUAUGAUAAUACAGUCUACAUGAUCAUCUUCUUAAAACAACUUCUGAAUACACCGUCCGAUCGUGUCCAUUAGCCCCCUGUAAGAAACACACAUGGAGAAGUCAAGAGAGAGAUGAGAGCACAAUAAUGAUUCUACACAUGCUUAAAGCACAGUCAGAAAAUGAAAAUGACAAUUAAUACACAAAUAAUAACAAUCAAUUAAAAAAAAAAAAAAAACACUAUGUGAGAUGGGGUUAUUUUUAUUCCUACAAAGACAGUUUAAAUAGGAAAAGAAGUGUCCCAUUGGAUUCAGAAUCUAUUCAUAGGAGCUUUGUGACGAUAUAAGCACAUGCACAGAAGAUGCAGAAAUAAUGGACAGUCAAUUCCAAUGAUUCCAAUAGAUUCA
ensembl:lncRNA